GCCUCGGUAGCUCAAUGGUAGAGUGUAAGACUGAAAAUCUUGAUGCAAUGGUUCGAUUCCAUUCCAAGGCA